rnacentral:rRNA from 1 species
AUACGUAGGUGACGAGCGUUGUCCGGAAUUAUUGGGCGUAAAGGGAGCGCAGGCGGUUGGAAUAGUCUGAUGUGAAAGCCCACGGCUUAACCGUGGAAGGUCAUUGGAAACUGUCCAACUUGAAUGCAGAAGAGGAAAGUGGAAUUCCAUGUGUAGCGGUGAAAUGCGUAGAUAUAUGGAGGAACACCAGUGGCGAAGGCGACUUUCUGGUCUGUAAUUGACGCUGAGGCUCGAAAGCGUGGGUAGCGAACAGGAUUAGAUACCCUGGUAGUCCACGCCGUAAACGAUGAGUGCUAAGUGUUGGGAGGUUUCCGCCUCUCAGUGCUGCAGUUAACGCAUUAAGCACUCCGCCUGGGGAGUACGGCCGCAAGGCUGAA